AUUGAACGCUGGCGGCAGGCCUAACACAUGCAAGUCGAGCGGUAGAGAGGUGCUUGCAUCUCUUGAGAGCGGCGGACGGGUGAGUAAUGCCUAGGAAUCUGCCUAGUGGUGGGGGAUAACGUUCGGAAACGGACGCUAAUACCGCAUACGUCCUACGGGAGAAAGCGGGGGAUCUUCGGACCUCGCGCCAUUAGAUGAGCCUAGGUCGGAUUAGCUAGUUGGUGAGGUAAUGGCUCACCAAGGCGACGAUCCGUAACUGGUCUGAGAGGAUGAUCAGUCACACUGGAACUGAGACACGGUCCAGACUCCUACGGAGGCAGCAGUGGGGAAUAUUGGACAAUGGGCGAAAGCCUGAUCCAGCCAUGCCGCGUGUGUGAAGAAGGUCUUCGGAUUGUAAAGCACUUUAAGUUGGGAGGAAGGGUAGUAACCUAAUACGUUGCUACUUUGACGUUACCGACAGAAUAAGCACCGGCUAACUUCGUGCCAGCAG
rnacentral:rRNA from 1 species